rnacentral:rRNA from 1 species
ACCAGACUCCUACGGGAGGCAGCAGUGGGGAAUAUUGCACAAUGGGGGGAACCCUGAUGCAGCGACGCCGCGUGGGUGAAGAAGCGCCUCGGCGCGUAAAGCCCUGUCAGCAGGGAAGAAAAUGACGGUACCUGAAGAAGAAGCCCCGGCUAACUACGUGCCGGCAGCCGCGGUAAUACGUAGGGGGCAAGCGUUAUCCGGAUUGACUGGGUGUAAAGGGGGCGCAGACGGCGAUGCAAGCCAGGAGUGAAAGCCCGGGGCCCAACCCCGGGACUGCUCUUGGAACUGCGUGGCUGGAGUGCAGGAGGGGCAGGCGGAAUUCCUGGUGUAGCGGUGAAAUGCGUAGAUAUCAGGAGGAACACCGGUGGCGAAGGCGGCCUGCUGGACUGCGACUGACGUUGAGGCCCGAAAGCGUGGGGAGCAAACAGGAUUAGAUACCCCCGUA